rnacentral:piRNA from 1 species
UUAGAUGCUUUUCCAUUUUUU